AUUGUAUUACAAAAUACUCUUGUAUAAUGUGAAUCAAUUGCAAUUGAUGGAAUAUCUUUAAAAUGCUGAGAAUAUUUUCCAACAAUUUUGUGAUCUCCAUAAAUAUGAAGUGGAAAGGUGGAAAUAUGCUUUAAGAGCACUAAUUUAUAUGGUGUAGUGAAAGUUCAUGUAAUUUUUUCAAAAUCGAAUAUGUGGAAAGGAGCUGUUUGGAAUGAAGAUUUACAAGAAGAAGUAAUUCCAUCUAAUUGAAUUAGUGAUAAAAAUGUGUGUCGGCUUCCAGUUACCAAAGCAUUGACUGCAC